rnacentral:tRNA from 1 species
GGCUAUGUAGCCCAAUUUGGUAGGAGGCAACAGAUUUAGGAUCUGUACAGUCUCGGUUCAAAUCCGAGCAUGGCUA